rnacentral:rRNA from 1 species
AGUGAACGCUGGCGGUAGGCCUAACACAUGCAAGUCGAACGGCGGCACAGUAAGAGCUUGCUCUUACGGGUGGCGAGUGGCGGACGGGUGAGGAAUACAUCGGAAUCUACUUUUUCGUGGGGGAUAACGUAGGGAAACUUACGCUAAUACAGCAUACGACCUACGGGUGAAAGCAGGGGAUCUUCGGACCUUGCGCGAUUGAAUGAGCCGAUGUCGGAUUAGCUAGUUGGCGGGGUAAAGGCACACCAAGGCGACGAUCCGUAGCUGGUCUGAGAGGAUGAUCAGCCACACUAGAACUGAGACACGGUCCAGACUCCUACGGGAGGCACCAGUGGGGAAUAUUGGACAAUGGGCGCAAGCCUGAUCCAGCCAUACCGCGUGGGUGAAGAAGGCCUUCGGGUUGUAAAGCCCUUUUGUUGGGAAAGAAAAGCAGCAGGUUAAUACCCAGCUGUUCUGACGGUACCCAAAGAAUAAGCACCGGCUAACUUCGUG